rnacentral:lncRNA from 1 species
UAAUGACCGAAGACUACAGCGGGACUUAGGUGAGAAAGGCCCACCUGAGGCUUGGGGGAGGGUCUCCCGGGUUUCUUGGGGCCGGAGGUGGGUAGAAUCAUUCAUUCAACUGUUGUCUCGUUUUAAGUAGAGUUUUGAUUCACGUUAAGAAAAGCUGGAUGGAGCGAUAAGUCAUCGCGGCUUCUCAAGCAUCUGCUAGUUAGGGCGUGCUCAGUAGUAAAAAGGAGAGUAUUUUCCUGUGCCUUAUUCCCUUGUGUGUAAACGAAAGCUGCUCCGCCCUCCCCAGGAAGUCUUUUCGGUGUUCUUUGGAAAGGAUGGGCUCCGAUACCUAAAGGAGUUGCAUGGAAUCUUGAAACCAUGGAUCAUCCACAUGUAUUUUGCAACAUGCUUUAGAUUUUUUCCUGGAAAUCCUACAAGGACCCUAAAAAUUGAAUAUAUUGUACAACACAUGUAUGGCCAAUGGU